rnacentral:rRNA from 1 species
AGGGUUUGAUCCUGGCUCAGAACGUACGCUGGCGGCACGCCUAACACAUGCAAGUCGAACGAAGUAGCAAUACUUAGUGGCAGACGGGUGAGUAACAUGUGGGUAUCUGCCCUUUGGCCUGGAAUAACACGAGGAAACUUGUGCUAAUACCGGAUAAGUCUUUACGGAGAAAGCUUUAUGCACCAUUGGAUGAGCCCGCACUUGAUUAGUUUGUUGGUGGGGUAAUGGCCUACCAAGACUGUGAUCAAUAGCUGAUUUGAGAGGAUGAUCAGCCACAUUGGGACUGAGACACGGCCCAAACUCCUACGGGAGGCAGCAGUGGGGAAUCUUGCACAAUGGAGGAAACUCUGAUGCAGCGAUGCCGCGUGAGUGAAGAAGGCCCUUGGGUUGUAAAGCUCUUUCGUCGGGGAAGAAAAUGACUGUACCCGAAUAAGAAGGUCCGGCUAACUUCGUGCCAGCAGCCGCGGUAAUACGAAGGGACCUAGCGUAGUUCGGAAUUACUGGGCUUAAAGAGUUCGUAGGUGGUUGAAAAAGUUAGUGGUGAAAUCCCAGAGCUUAACUCUGGAACUGCCAUUAAAACUUUUCAGCUAGAGUAUGAUAGAGGAAAGCAGAAUUUCUAGUGUAGAGGUGAAAUUCGUAGAUAUUAGAAAGAAUACCAAUUGCGAAGGCAGCUUUCUGGAUCAUUACUGACACUGAGGAACGAAAGCAUGGGUAGCGAAGAGGAUUAGAUACCCUCGUAGUCCAUGCCGUAAACGAUGUGUGUUAGACGUUGGAAAUUUAUUUUCAGUGUCGCAGCGAAAGCGAUAAACACACCGCCUGGGGAGUACGACCGCAAGGUUAAAACUCAAAUGAAUUGACGGGGACCCGCACAAGUAGUGGAGCAUGUGGUUUAAUUCGAAGAUACGCGCAGAACCUUACCAACACUUGACAUGUUCGUCGCGACUCUAAGAGAUUAGAGUUUUCGGUUCGGCCGGACGAAACACAGGUGCUGCAUGGCUGUCGUCAGCUCGUGUCGUGAGAUGUUGGGUUAAGUCCCGCAACGAGCGCAACCCUCACUUUUAGUUGCCAUCAUUAAGUUGGGCACUCUGAAAGAACUGCCAGUGAUAAGCUGGAGGAAGGUGGGGAUGACGUCAAGUCCUCAUGGCCCUUACGUGUUGGGCUACACACGUGCUACAAUGGUAUCUACAACAGGAAGCAAGACUGCGAGGUCAAGCAAAUCCUUAAAAGAUACCUCAGUUCGGAUUGCACUCUGCAACUCGAGUGCAUGAAGCUGGAAUUACUAGUAAUCGUGGAUCAGCGUGCCACGGUGAAUGCGUUCCCGGGUCUUGUACACACCGCCCGUCACACCAUGGGAGUUGGUUCUACCUUAAG